rnacentral:rRNA from 1 species
GGCGUGCUUAACGCAUGCAAGUCGACGGAAAGGCCCUGCGUUUUGUGGGGUGGCUCGAGUGGCGAACGGGUGAGUAACACGUGUAGUAACCUGCCCUUUGACUUUGGGAUAACUUCAGGAAACUGGGGCGUAAUACCGGAUAGGAGCUCCUGCUGCAUGGUGGGGGUUGGAAAGUUUCGGCGGUUGGGGAUGGACUCGCGGCUUAUCAGCUUGUUGGUGGGGUAGUGGCUUACCAAGGCGUUUGACGGGUAGCCGGCCUGAGAGGGUGACCGGCCACGAUUGGGACUGAGAUACGGCCCAGACUCCUACGGGAGGCAGCAGUGGGGAAUAUUGCACAAUGGGCGGAAGCCUGAUGCAGCAACGCCGCGUGCGGGAUGACGGCCUUCGGGUUGUAAACCGCUUUCGCCUGUGACGAAGCGUGAGUGACGGUAAUGGGUAAAGAAGCACCGGCUAACUACGUG